CCAGGUGGCUCAGUGGUAAAGAAUCUGCCUUCAGUGCAGGAGACCUGGGUUCAAUUCCUGGGUCUGGA
rnacentral:tRNA from 1 species